GAUGAACGCUGGCGGCGUGCCUAAUACAUGCAAGUCGAGCGAACAGACGAGGAGCUUGCUCCUCUGACGUUAGCGGCGGACGGGUGAGUAACACGUGGAUAACCUACCUAUAAGACUGGGAUAACUUCGGGAAACCGGAGCUAAUACCGGAUAAUAUAUUGAACCGCAUGGUUCAAUAGUGAAAGACGGUUUUGCUGUCACUUAUAGAUGGAUCCGCGCCGCAUUAGCUAGUUGGUAAGGUAACGGCUUACCAAGGCGACGAUGCGUAGCCGACCUGAGAGGGUGAUCGGCCACACUGGAACGGAGACACGGUCCAGACUCCUACGGGAGGCAGCAGUAGGGAAUCUUCCGCAAUGGGCGAAAGCCUGACGGAGCAACGCCGCGUGAGUGAUGAAGGUCUUCGGAUCGUAAAACUCUGUUAUGAGGGAAGAACAAAUGUGUAAGUAACUAUGCACGUCUUGACGGUACCUAAUCAGAAAGCCACGGCUAACUACGUG
rnacentral:rRNA from 1 species